rnacentral:rRNA from 1 species
CAGUCGCCGCGGGAACACGGAGGGUGCAAGCGUUAUCCGGAUUUAUUGGGUUUAAAGGGUCCGUAGGCGGAUCUGUAAGUCAGUGGUGAAAUCUCACAGCUUAACUGUGAAACUGCCAUUGAUACUGCAGGUCUUGAGUAAAUUUGAAGUGGCUGGAAUAAGUAGUGUAGCGGUGAAAUGCAUAGAUAUUACUUAGAACACCAAUUGCGAAGGCAGGUCACUAAGAUUUAACUGACGCUGAUGGACGAAAGCGUGGGGAGCGAACAGGAUUAGAUACCCCUGUAGUCCCUGUCUCUUAUAA